rnacentral:lncRNA from 1 species
CAGUCCUACAUUAUGGAAAACAAAAUAUGUACAGUCCUACAUUAUAGAAAACAAAAUAUGUACAGUCCUACAAUAUAGAAAACAAAAUAUGUGUAGUUCUACAUAAUAGAAAACAAAAUAUGUACAGUCCUACAAUAUAGAAAACAAAAUAUGUGUAGUUCUACAUAAUAGAAAACAAAAUAUGUACAGUCCUACAAUAUAGAAAACAAAAUAUGUGUAGUUCUACAUAAUAGAAAACAAAAUGUGUACAGUCCUACAUUAUAGA